CCGAAACGAAGUGAUCUAUCCAUGAGCAAGUUGAAGCUAGUGUAAGAACUAGUGGAGGACUGAACCCAUAGGCGUUGAAAAGCCCCGGGAUGACUUGUGGAUAGGGGUGAAAGGCCAAUCAAACUUCGUGAUAGCUGGUUCUCUCCGAAAUAUAUUUAGGUAUAGCGUUGUGUCGUAAUAUAAGGGGGUAGAGCACUGAAUGGGCUAGGGCAUACACCAAUGUACCAAACCCUAUCAAACUCCGAAUACCUUAUAUGUAAUCACAGCAGUCAGGCGGCGAGUGAUAAAAUCCGUCGUCAAGAGGGAAACAACCCAGACUACCAGCUAAGGUCCCUAAAUCUUACUUAAGUGGAAAACGAUGUGAAGUUACUUAAACAACCAGGAGGUUGGCUUAGAAGCAGCCAUCCUUUAAAGAAAGCGUAAUAGCUCACUGGUCUAGUGAUUUUGCGCGGAAAAUAUAACGGGGCUAAAGUAAGUACCGAAGCUGUAGACUUGCGCACAACUUAGAUUAUUUAAGUUUAGAAUAUGAGAAACUAAGUUAUAUGUUUAGUUAUAUUUUUACUGAUUUUUAUAGAGUAAAGAUAGAAAUAAAACUUAGUAAAAUCAGUAAAAAUAUUCUUAGACUAAAGUUAAGUAGUUUAAGUUGUGUGCAAGUGGUAGGAGAGCGUUCUAUUUGCGUCGAAGGUAUACCGGUAAGGAGUGCUGGAGCGAAUAGAAGUGAGCAUGCAGGCAUGAGUAGCGAUAAUUAAUGUGAGAAUCAUUAACGCCGUAAACCCAAGGUUUCCUACGCGAUGCUCGUCAUCGUAGGGUUAGUCGGGUCCUAAGUCGAGUCCGAAAGGGGUAGACGAUGGCAAAUUGGUUAAUAUUCCAAUACCAACAUUAGUGUGCGAUGGAAGGACGCUUAGGGCUAAGGGGGCUAGCGGAUGGAAGUGCUAGUCUAAGGUCGUAGGAGGUUAUACAGGCAAAUCCGUAUAACAAUACUCCGAGAACUGAAAGGCUUUUUGAAGUCUUCGGAUGGAUAGAAGAACCCCUGAUGCCGUCGAGCCAAGAAAAGUUUCUAAGUUUAGCUAAUGUUGCCCGUACCGUAAACCGACACAGGUGGGUGGGAUGAGUAUUCUAAGGCGCGUGGAAGAACUCUCUUUAAGGAACUCUGCAAAAUAGCACCGUAUCUUCGGUAUAAGGUGUGGUUAGCUUUGUAUUAGGAUUUACUCCGAAAGCGAAGAAACUUACAACAAAGAGUCCCUCCCGACUGUUUACCAAAAACACAGCACUCUGCUAACUCGUAAGAGGAUGUAUAGGGUGUGACGCCUGCCCGGUGCUCGAAGGUUAAUUGAUGGGGUUAGCAUUAGCGAAGCUCUUGAUCGAAGCCCGAGUAAACGGCGGCCGUAACUAUAACGGUCCUAAGGUAGCGAAAUUCCUUGUCGGUUAAAUACCGACCUGCAUGAAUGGCGUAACGAGAUGGGAGCUGUCUCAAAGAGGGAUCCAGUGAAAUUGUAGUGGAGGUGAAAAUUCCUCCUACCCGCGGCAAGACGGAAAGACCCCGUGGACCUUUACUACAGCUUGACACUGCUACUUGGAUAAGAAUGUGCAGGAUAGGUGGGAGGCUUUGAGUAUAUGACGCCAGUUGUAUAUGAGCCAUUGUUGAGAUACCACUCUUUCUUAUUUGGGUAGCUAACCAGCUUGAGUUAUCCUCAAGUGGGACAAUGUCUGGUGGGUAGUUUGACUGGGGCGGUCGCCUCCCAAAUAAUAACGGAGGCUUACAAAGGUUGGCUCAGAACGGUUGGAAAUCGUUCGUAGAGUAUAAAGGUAUAAGCCAGCUUAACUGCAAGACAUACAAGUCAAGCAGAGACGAAAGUCGGUCUUAGUGAUCCGGUGGUUCUGUGUGGAAGGGCCAUCGCUCAAAGGAUAAAAGGUACCCCGGGGAUAACAGGCUGAUCUCCCCCAAGAGCUCACAUCGACGGGGAGGUUUGGCACCUCGAUGUCGGCUCAUCGCAUCCUGGGGCUGGAGCAGGUCCCAAGGGUAUGGCUGUUCGCCAUUUAAAGCGGUACGCGAGCUGGGUUCAGAACGUCGUGAGACAGUUCGGUCCCUAUCUGCCGUGGGCGUAAGAAGAUUGAAGAGAUUUGACCCUAGUACGAGAGGACCGGGUUGAACAAACCACUGGUGUAGCUGUUGUUCUGCCAAGAGCAUCGCAGCGUAGCUAAGUUUGGAAAGGAUAAACGCUGAAAGCAUCUAAGCGUGAAGCCAACUCUAAGAUGAAUCUUCUCUAAGCUCUCUAGAAGACUACUAGUUUGAUAGGCUGGGUGUGUAAUGGAUGAAAGUCCUUUAGCUGACCAGUACUAAUAGAGCGUUUGGCUUAUCUUUAAUAAAGCAU
rnacentral:rRNA from 1 species